rnacentral:rRNA from 1 species
CCUACGGGUGGCUGCAGUAAGGAAUAUUGGUCAAUGGACGAAAGUCUGAACCAGCCAUCCCGCGUGCAGGAUGAAAGCCCUAUGGGUUGUAAACUGCUUUUAGCAGAGAAGAAAAGCUUUCAUUAAUGAGAGUCUGACGGUAUCUGCAGAAUAAGCACCGGCUAACUCCGUGCCAGCAGCCGCGGUAAUACGGAGGGUGCGGGAGUUACCCGGAUUUACGGGUGCGUAGGCGUGCGAUUACGGAGGAUUAGAAAUCUUGUCGCUUAACGAUAGAAUUGCCAAUGAUACUGGUACUCUUGAAUUGGGUUGAGGUUAGCGGAAUGUGACAUGUAGCGGUGAAAUGCGUAGAUAUGUCAUGGAACACCAAUUGCGAAGGCAGCUAACUGGGCCUUGAUUGACGCUGAGGCACGAAAGCGUGGGUAGCGAACAGGAUUAGAUACCCGGGUAGUC